rnacentral:rRNA from 1 species
UACGUAGGGGGCAAGCGUUGUCCGGAUUCAUUGGGCGUAAAGAGCGUGUAGGCGGCCAUACAGGUCCGUUGUGAAAACUGGAGGCUUAACCUCCAGACGUCGAUGGAAACCGUAUGGCUAGAGUCCGGAAGAGGAGAGUGGAAUUCCUGGUGUAGCGGUGAAAUGCGCAGAUAUCAGGAAGAACACCCGUGGCGAAGGCGGCUCUCUGGGACGGUACUGACGCUGAGACGCGAAAGCGUGGGGAGCGAACAGG